AUAUAGUAGCCCUGUAUUUCCGUUUAAUAAAGGGUUUGUUUAAGGCAGGUUUUACUGUACUUAUUAUCUACAUAAAUACUUUCGUUGGGAGUGUAAAUUUACCUUGUGAUAUCUGUACAGAAAGAACUACAGGAACUUUUUACAUUUUACUAGAAUUCAACCUGACGGUAAAUUAAGUUGAUCUCAGUAAACUGCUACAUGCAGUUUGAAGCUAGACAAGUAUUGUCCCAGGCCACUAAUAUUGUGGGUGUUUGUUUGGUUUUGCAGCUCAGCAGCAACCUAAAAGUGGCAACAUAUUGUUUGUGCAUGGAGAGACGCAGGGUCAGGACAGAGGUGGAACCGACUCAACUCGAGUCAUCAAUCCUGAUGAGAUUAACAUUGAGUAUGAUGAAGAUGAUUAACAUUGAGUAUGAUGAAGAUGAUGAUAAUUUUCCAAUACAAAAACAGCCAAUUCCCUAGGAAGUAUUUGGAAGUCUGAAGAAACCACAUGAAGAUGAUGAUGAUUGAAAUUGGCACCAAGUGUCGCUUGACUCUCAAAUAAAUACAGACAGGGGAAGAAUGUUCAUAUAGUAAAUGGGUUGUUAAUGUGUUACAGUAUAAUUUCAUAUACUGGUGAGUUUUACACAUAUUUUAAUGUCAACUUCUUUUCAUACAUUAGAAAAAUCUCU